rnacentral:rRNA from 1 species
UAAUACGGAGGGGGCAAGCGUUGUUCGGAUUUACUGGGCGUAAAGGGAGCGUAGGCGGUUAGUCAAGUUCGGUGUGAAAGCUUUACCACUCAACGGAAAGAGGUCAUCGAAAACUGGCUGGCUAGAGUAGGGUAGAGGCAAGCGGAAUUCCUGGUGUAGCGGUGGAAUGUGUAGAUAUCAGGAAGAACAUCGGUGGCGAAGGCGGCUUGCUGGGCCCUCACUGACGCUGAAGCUCGAAAGCGUGGGGAGCAAACGGGAUUAGAUACCCCGGUAGUCCACGCUGUAAACGGUGCGCACUAGGUGUGGGGGGUAUCGACCCCUCCCGUGCCGUAGUUAACACAUUAAGUGCGCCGCCUGGGGAGUACGGCCGCAAGGUUG